rnacentral:rRNA from 1 species
UACGGAGGGUGCAAGCGUUGCUCGGAUUUAUUGGGCGUAAAGGGUAGGUAGGUGGUCUUAUUUGUCUAGGGUGAAAUCCUUGAGCUUAACUCAAGAAGUGCCCUAGAAACGGUAAGACUAGAGUCCUGGAGAGGGUCGUGGAAUUCCCGGUGUAGCGGCGAAAUGCGUAGAGAUCGGGAGGAACACCAGAGGCGAAGGCGGCGACCUGGACAGGUACUGACGCUGAGGAGCGAAAGCGUGGGGAGCGAACAGG